UUUCCGUAGGGUAAGUUUAACUCUGAUUGCCUCCGGCAAUCGCUCCUUUAAGAAUCUAUACUAACGUGUUUACAGUGAACCUGCGGAAGGAUCAUUACCGAGACUGCUCUUUUAAGAGCAACCUCCACCCAAAUGUCUUAAAAACCUUUUAAACUCAAAAAGAAAUUUAUGAGAAUAAAAACUUUCAACAACGGAUCUCUUGGUUCUGGCAUCGAUGAAGAACGCAGC
rnacentral:misc_RNA from 1 species